CCACACCAACACACAUCACACUCACAUCCAUGUAAAACCCGUGAAUGGAUUAUCACAUACCCAAUAUACUGUGAAAAUGAGCAGAUGGUUUGCAGUCUUUCCAUUGAAACAGUACGGUGUUAUGGUAUACGCUGAUAUCGUAAGAGCAUGAAACAGUACAUAUGACCGAAAGAGACGGAUUAUCGUAAAAUCGUCCUGUUACGAUACAGCACCUCAUGACUACUAUCACCAUUGAUCACAGGCAAGGAAACAUGCCACUCUUGCCAGGAUGUCAUGUUCGGUACCUCCAGCUAGAUAUCACAGUUCAUUGGAUUCUGCACAAUAUCGUAAUCCGAAAACAUCUGUAACUCGUUAUCCCUUACUAUUCCACAAGCACCGUGCAUGAACUCUUGAGACAACAGAUGAAUGCAAUUAUUAUAUUCCGUCAGACACUGUUUUUGACAUAUGGAUUUGUCAUAAACGGGAAUACUUCGCAUAUCAACUUGCCACCUCAUAGGAAGAUAUAGUCGACAUCUUCAUCAUGAUAAAGCAGCUACAUUUUCCGCGCCAGAAGUCGCCAUCAACCCUUGGUCUCUUGAUUGGUAAAGGCAGUCUCCAUAUCAGACACUCUGAUUUCAAUAAUAUCACUUUGGGGACGCUAAUAACUUCGCAAUGGGUAUGCAAAUGGUGUCGGGAUUGGAAGACACAUUAAAGAUAAGGUGGACAACAGAUGGAUGUUGACUGGUGGAAUAUACACUUCAAUACAAGAAAAGAAGAUUUUUGAAAACGCCAUCACAUUGAAAUGCACACUACUUUUAUCACUUCAUGAUCGAUCUUCUAUCGGUUUUUCCAUUUCUGCAUGCAUGAUAUUAUUGUGGUAGAGUAGUAGUAGUAGUAGUAGUAGUAGUAGUAGUAGUAGUAGUAGAAGUAGGUUGUAGUAGUAGUAGUAGUAGUAGUAGUAUGUUUGUUUUGGUGGUGGUUUUUAACAAAUUAUAUCUUAUAAAGUAGUAUAGAAUUUAUAGUGUUUACGUUUGUGGUGGAGGCUUUACAAGUAGCAGUACUAGCAGCAGUAGAGGUAGAAGUAAUAUUAAUUAGUAGUAGUAGAAGUAGUAGUAGAAGUAGCAGUAAUUAGUAGUCGUAGUAAUAGUAGUAGUAGUAGUAGUAGUAGUAGUGUUUGCUUUCAAUAUAUUACUCGAGAAUUUGCAUGGAUUUGAUUUUGUUACGAUAGCUUGCAUUCAUAUAGUAAUACAAGUAGUGUGCUUUAUCAUUAUCAUCAUUCAGUAUAACAAUUACACUUUAAGUCAUAGAUACGUUUUACAACUGCAUUGACAUACAUAAGAUUUACAAUAGGUCUAAUGUUUUAUUAUAAAAUUUGAAGUAGAAUUCUAAAGGUCAUCCAACGCAGAAGAUAUAAAGCAAACGAAUUCUUUCAUCGACAGUCUUUCACCAAGAUAACAUGCAUAAUUUAUUUUGUCUUUUCGACUCCAUUUGAAACAAUAACAUACCCAUAUAUGUAUUGGAGUCUAAGAUAUUCUCUCAGAUAAUAUUUACCGUACAUCCUACCGCGUUACUUAAAUACAAGCAGAAUGAAAGUUUCUUUAAAGGACUUGAUUAUUGCAUACAUUAACGAUAUUUUAUCAAAAUUCAGAUAACUUUGUUUGGUUUAUUACUCCAAAUCUAUUUCGAUUUUUAACAGAACAUGAAAACACAAUGUACAAUAUCAUACAUAUAAUUGCGUGACACUUGUUUGGUUUUCUUUUGUAGCAGUAGUUUUAGUAUUUUAACAGUAGUUAGUAGAAGGUGUGGUUAGUAGUGUUGGUUGUGUUUUGUAGACGUAGUUACUAACAAAAACUAAUACAAAUAUAAUAACAGUUUGAAUGUACAGCAUGUUUAUCAUUCCGAUGUCAAACAUCAUUUGAUUAAAUCUACGGAUGUGUAUUUACUAAUAUGAUUUGUAGUGCAAGUAGUAAAAGUAGUAGUAGUAGUAGUAGUAGUAGUAGUAGUAGUAGUAGUAGUAGUAGUAAUAGUAGUAGUAAUAGUAGUAGUAACACUGUAUAACUGGUAUUACCGCGAGUUUGUGCGGUAACCAUCAUACACUGACCUCGUAGUGCAAACAGGCUACUACCUUUUUUCGCUGGCGAUUUAUCAAGCAAUUAAGCCGUAAAUUACGUCAGGGAGGAUAUAUACGCAGACGUGAAUAGCGCCUUUCCGAUACAAAUUAAGAAUUAGACAAAAUAGAUCCAAAUAACAAAUUAUCCUGAAUCUCACAUCUGUUUCCUCCUUCUGCAACACGUCAAUGACCUGUUGAUAACCGCACUUAUUUCGUGUUACGAAAAUAGUGAAAGUGAGCAGCGAAUGAAAUGGUUUACAAUAUCUUGAAAAAUGACAAUAUAUAUAUUGAAUAAGGAAUUUUCACACGGAUUAAUGUGUAUAUGCCCAGUUAUACAGUGUCUACAGCGUUGGUAUGAUGUGUCUUUUAUACACUCUUCAGUUUAGCACUGUUCAACGGAACAUGCAAUGUUCUGAUAUACGAUUGAAAUCGUUAGUUCAUUAAUGGUGAUGGUGUUAAGUAUCUAUGUAACUGAUUAUUUCUGCGGACAACAUUUCCACAAUAAUGAUCAGAUACAUAAUUGUGUGCGUGAUUGCGUAGGCCUAUUUAUUAUUUAUUUAUUAAGCGGUAGUUCUAGUCAAUAGUUAUUUACAUAUGUUAAUAUGCUCAAUUAGUUGUUUAUUAGCUAAUAUAUUUACUAUUAUAGUGUUUUUGUUUACUUUUCUGUUAUUAGUGAUGUAGAUGGUUUCUUUAAUUUCCAAAAAACAAAACCACUCCACUGGUUCUUUUUGAUAUUGAAUAUGACAAUAUUGAACUUUAUCGUUUUGGUUUCUAAUUUCCAAUUUGAAAGUAUAUGUCAGUUAUCUGAUUUAUUGAACUAAGCUCAACAACACCUGAUUAAACGUUUAUUUUUUAGCGCAUUGUUAUAUAACAGAUAUCAACAAAUAAUAUCGAAAUAAUAACGAGUUAAUGCUGAUUCUGAUAAAUGUUUUUCAGUUAAUUGUAUACAUAGAACGCACUGACGAUAAAAUUUGUCCCAAUUUAUAUGUCAGAGGUGUGAACGACCAUUUAUCAUUAUAUGAGCUACAUUUAGAAAGCCGUGGCUACUUGGACGUUAGACAAACGAUGAUUUAUUUCUCUCUAUUGUACAUUAUGUAUCUGUGUUUAGUAUUUACAUAUCUUAGUUAGUUAGAUGCUAGAAUAUUUAUUAAUGUUGAAUAUUGCUUUCUAGAAUUAAAAGCUUUAGUAGAA